rnacentral:tRNA from 1 species
ACAGUGUUAUUAUAAUUAAUAUACUAUCUUUCCAAGUUAGAGAUCCUUAAAUACAUAGGACACUGUA